AGAUUAAGGACCUUGGGAUAUCUCUGACAAUGGUGACAGAAAGCCAUCGUGCGAAUGUAACCAUCGCAGCAGAGGACUGACUGGAGAGCCAUCUGAAGAAGGCAGACUUAGCUCUCACCCCGGGUCAGGAUUAGGCUAGUGCCUAUCUUUCAUCAGAAUUUUCUCUAGAUUCCAAUCAUAAUCUUGUCAACACAACAAGAAAGGCCUUCAACAAUGAUGGGUUCUGACCUUUAAGAUACUUGAUCCCUAGAGGUGCAGAGCCCUGCCUUUGGUUACGAGGAGGCCAUGGGUAGCUACACCCACCCAGAUCAUUCGGUCCUCUUCAUGGCGGGCGGCCCCGUCCGGUCAGAUGCCACCAGAGCCAGCAUCACCCGAGAGUCAUUUGGGAUGCUGUGGUUCUAGAGACUGCCUCCAUCUUGAGCCAAGGAAGAAGCUGUUCCGGGGAGGACAUUGGAACCUUGGUGAGAGUUGGCCUUUCUGUGCCUCCAUCUGAAAGCUAAGCUCUUCUAUGGGAGUUUGGAUUGAAGGUUAGGGAUGAUGGCUCAGAGGGGGAAAGUGUGAAAUGGUAAUCGCUUUCAUAUGUCACUUGAGAAAUGUUAUAAUAAAGCUGAGUAAAUUGGAGCAUGA